ACAUGCAGUCGAGCGGUUGACGGGAGCUUGCUCCCUGAUUCAGCGGCGGACGGGUGAGUAAUGCCUAGGAAUCUGCCUAUUAGUGGGGGACAACGUUUCGAAAGGAACGCUAAUACCGCAUACGUCCUACGGGAGAAAGCAGGGGACCUUCGGGCCUUGCGCUAAUAGAUGAGCCUAGGUCGGAUUAGCUAGUUGGUGGGGUAAUGGCUCACCAAGGCGACGAUCCGUAACUGGUCUGAGAGGAUGAUCAGUCACACUGGAACUGAGACACGGUCCAGACUCCUACGGGAGGCAGCAGUGGGGAAUAUUGGACAAUGGGCGAAAGCCUGAUCCAGCCAUGCCGCGUGUGUGAAGAAGGUCUUCGGAUUGUAAAGCACUUUAAGUUGGGAGGAAGGGCAGUAAAUUAAUACUUUGCUGUUUUGACGUUACCGACAGAAUAAGCACCGGCUAACUCUGUGCCAGCAGCCGCGGUAAUACAGAGGGUGCAAGCGUUAAUCGGAAUUACUGGGCGUAAAGCGCGCGUAGGUGGUUUGUUAAGUUGGAUGUGAAAGCCCCGGGCUCAACCUGGGAACUGCAUCCAAAACUGGCAAGCUAGAGUACGGUAGAGGGUGGUGCAAUUUC
rnacentral:rRNA from 1 species